ensembl:ncRNA asRNA:CR45056 antisense RNA:CR45056
GUUUUUUUUUUUUUUUUUUUGGCAAUUAAAUUUUGCGAGUGUGGGUGGCAGCUUGGAAUGUGGAGCUGGACGUGGAACUGGGACUCACCUGAGCUGCUCGGGGAGCACGUGUAGUUGCCCGAAUCCGCCGGCGUGGCCUUGGCUAUGAGCAGCUUGCUGGUCCGUGUGGAACGCUCCGUGAUGACGUUGAUGCCACCGCGCUGCGAGUAAUUCAUGACCCGCUUGCCCUUGUACCAGUAGAUGAACGAUGGCGGCACCGGCGACUGCAUCGCCAGGCAGGUGAGAUUGAUGUCGCUGCCGCUCUUGAUGAAGAGCUCCGCGUUGCCCAGGAUCUUGGCCCGUGACACUGCCGUUGAGAGGUAAUAAAAAGCCACACGGGGCAGGCCAUUAAUUAGCACACCGCCCACUUAAUGGCCAGCGAACAUCACUUCCCCCAUCUCCCAUCGGCCCAUCUCCACCGGCUUCGAUACUCACCCACAACGUUGAGGCGAAAUCCUUGGCUGAUCUUCGGCUCCGUGGACACCUGGCACUCGUAGGUGCCCGAAUCCCGCGGCUGCGGCGAUGAGAUGCGCAGCGUCCACUCGUCGGAUCCCUCGGAGUGCAGCGACUGGAAGCGCUGGUCGUUUGUGUACGUUAGUAUUCCCACCGUCAGGAUGUGCAGGUCGCGCUUCCUUAUCCAGGACACCUGGCGGAGAAGGAAGUGGCCAUUAAGUUCAUAAUGCGUUGAGCCCAUAAGCCAUUAGCUAUGGCAUUUUUUAGAGCAUAAAGCCUAUUUUAUU